rnacentral:lncRNA from 1 species
UUCUUGUAAAGCAUUUUUCAUUAUUUCCUUCAGUAUAUUAAUUGGAGAGAACAAUCUUCGCUCUCUCUAGCUAUCUCGGCCUCAACUACUCUUCUAUUCUCACCGCCGAUUCUCAUCACGCUGUUCGACGCGCUGUCGAUGCGUCUCCGAUCUAACGCACGAAAUCCAAUGCACCGCCUUUUCGAAUCAGAAUCGGUUCCGCAAGUGACACUAGCUUCAACACGUACGUACUACCUUCAUUUUAAUCCAACUUUCAUCGAUGAAAUCUGCAACAAUGUCAACAUCUGAAGGAUUGAAGAAUUGAGACUGUCCAGAUGGA